rnacentral:lncRNA from 1 species
AACCAGGAUUUGAACUGUAACAGCUGGAUCCAGAGGGCUUACUUCUAAUCAGUAUAAGGCACUCCCUGCUGUUAAUGAGAAUGAAGUCUAUAAGGUCCUUUUACACUGGUCUGGUGCUUCAGAUAAAGAACUUAUCUCACUUGACUCUUUAGGAAAGGCAUGGCAAGUUUUAUGAUCUCUACUUGACAGCUGUGGAAACUGAUGUUCAAAAGUUAACUGACAUGUCCAGAGUCACACAGGUAAUAUACAUGGAAGAAUGGUAUGCAUUUCAUUUUAUUUUUAGUUUUGCAAAUUAUUUCAUAUAUGAUUUGAUGUCUUGUACUUUUACCCCCCUUCAAUUGUGGUAAUUUUGCCAUAUCAUAAAAUAAUUUAAAAACAUCAUGAUUCAUAUAAACUACAUGAUGUUAUAUCUUAUGGAUAUGCAUUAAGUUUUAAACCACUUCCCUAUUGCUGAACUUCUUAGUCUUCACUUAUUGGAGAGAAAGUAUUACUUUUGCUUUCAUUAACAUCCUUUUUCAUAAACUUAGAUCUUUGUCUGGAUAAAUCAUUACUUCCUGAGAACAGACUAAUUCUUAGACGUGGGUUACUGGGUCAAAGAUUAUAAACUCUUGCCUAUUAUCAAAUUGCUCUCCAAGACAUAUAACUACUUAAUAGUUGUUGAAAGUUGAAUGAAACAGAAAGGCUUUUAUCCCAGCAGCGUAUGAAAUCCCUUCUGUGUUAGUCUGAGUUUGGUGAAGAAAAUAGAACCACUGCAAGUUUUUUAGGGAAAAUAGUUUAAUACAGAAUUUAGGGCUUACAUAAAUGUGGGAAGAGUACAGAAGUAAGGUCCAGAAGCCUUUACCCAGAAGCACUUCGGCCUAGAGCACUGGAUCUGGUAGAGUCGGAGCUUGUGGAGAUGUCUGAGAAGCCAUCACAAGGGGUCAACAUGAUUGUAAAGUUGGAACUCAUGGAAAGGUCUAAAAUGCCACUGUCUCCUGCCACUAGGAUCUCUGGCUUCACAUCGCUUCUGCCGUCCAAAUCUCCUACCCAGUGGAAUUAUGUGGAGGUUGAUAGGCGCUUAACCAAGAACAAAUGAGCAUCUAUUCUGUGCAAGAUGUGUGCAUUGUACUUAAUCCAGGACUGAAGGAGACGGGACGAAGGUAAGGGAGCUCACAUUUAUUCAUUACCUGUGUCAGGCUCUGUGCAUGUUCAUCUUAUAUAUGUCAUAUUUAAUUCUUUCAAUAAUCCUAUGGAGUGGGAAUUAUCACACAUGUCCUCAUUCCCAUUUAUGUAUUAAGAAACAGAGACUCAGGGAGUUUCUUACUUUUCUAAGGUCAUUCAACUAGUAAGUGCCAUUCUUGGGAAAGAAAUUUGGCUUUUCCUGUUGUUUCUCAUGCAACUGACGAAGCCCAUAAUCUCAGACCUGUAUUUUAGGAAGUCCUUUAUAAAAGGACCGUAUCUAAUUGCUUUCAUUUUUAACAAUGGUUGGGUCAUAGGUUUCCUGAUGUGCUGAUUAACAGUAUCUCUUUUCUAUCUAAAGACAGUGUUUGUCCCCCAGUGUUUCUGCUGUCAAGAGUAGAAAACUGCCUUUGAAACCAUUGCCCUGAGCGCAAGAGGGGAUGACAAAGAGAUCAUCAACUAAGGAUCUCAGCAUUAAGUGCUGAGAGCCGGCCAAGUUCCUUUGCUAGUUUUCCAAGUCCCACCUCAUUUUCCCACCCUUGUGUCUUCAUAUGAGCUGUUUCCCUGAUUUUACAAAGCUGAAUUCACUCUUCUAGAUCCUGCUUGACUUUCAUGUCAAGGCUUUCUUUACUCCAAGGCGGAACGAAGUGCUCCCUUAUUUUUUCAUAUGUCUCAGCUGCUGUUACAAUGUAAUAUGUUUAACUGGCUUCCCAUUCAGCUCCACUAAACUGGGAACUUUCUGAGGUAUACACUGUGUCUUACUCAUCUUUGUAUCUGCUGUUCACUGUAUGACACACAAUAAUUUUGUGUAUUAGUACUAGUAAAUCAGUGAAUCAAAGACAACUAGCAUUGGCCUCUGCAUUUCUGUGGCAUAUCUGAGAGCAAUGUUAUCCACUUAAAAUCUUAAGCAUUUGUGUUCACUUUUCAGACCUUUGCUUUUUUUCAGCACCCUCCUUUUUACUUGUCUAUGGUCAGAGUAAUCUUAGAAUAGCUCUAAUUGAUGAGUAUUUUGGUCCAAACUAUACCUUGCCUGUUGAUUUCUAUUCUUUGCCUGGGACUCUUGAAGAUUUCUAUUUAAUUGGUUUGGGCACUUGCCUCACACAACGAAUUGUUUAAAUAUAGCCAGCACGAUGCAAGAUGCUUAGACUGCAGCUCUGAAAUCAGUAUAUGAGGAAGAGACACACAUGCGUGCAAAAGAGAGAAACCAUUCAUGAGUGCUGGGGGUGGGGGAAGGGAUAGCAGUUGAAAGCAUGUGAAAGCCACUUCCUUUUCUCAUGUGAGUAGAAACUCCAGCAGAACUUAUCAGAACCAUUCAUCUAUCUAAUCAUUCAUUCAUCUGUUUGUUCAUUCAUUCAUCUUGGAUAGCCCAGAUUAUUGCAAGAGCUCCUCAGUGAUCCCUCUCUCUCUCUUCUGGCCCCUGUUCAUACCAUAUUCGCAGCACUGAUCAUGACCUUUCUCUGGUUCUCUGUUAUUCACAAGAUAAAGUGCAAGCUCCUUAGCACGGCACACCAGAACACUGAUCUAGUCUCUGGCUGGCUACUGGUCCCCCUUGUCUAUUGCGGCCUGACAUGUGCACUUCUCUCUAAGCUCCAGCAACACUAGAUUCUUAGGAAUACCACUGAAACGCAGUUGGUGUUGUCUCUGUCCUUUUCUGUGUGCUGUUCCCUAUAUUUUCUUCUAGAUCGUUUCCUGCUUCUUCUCUUAUUUGGUUUUGAAAACUCAGCUCAACCGUAUCUCUACUGUAAAGCUUUCCCUGAGACUACCAAUUUAAAAGAGGUGUGCAUCUUUUUCUUCAUCACCGUGUUGUAGGCAUAUACCAGUCAUAGCUCUGAUUAUAAUAUACGGAACCUGUUUGUCCUUUAUCUUUCUCUUUAUUAGUCUGUGAAUUUCUCAUAGUCAAGGCCCUUAUGCUUUACAAAUCAGGUCCUGACAUAUAGUAGAUGCUAAAUAAAUAGACAUGGAAUGAGCACAUUACUCGUAUGCUGCAUGCUAAGAGUUUACAUGUUACCCUGAAUCCAAACACAGCCAUUCACAGGUUUUAAGCAGAGGCAGUAGCAGUGGCAGGAUUGGGUUUGUGCUUAGAGAUAGAAUGGAGAAUGAAUGGGACUGAGCAACACUGGAGACAAAGAGACGAGCCUACCUUGUCAUCCUCACCUCACCACGACCAACCACUAUUUGCUACUUCGCCUACCCCAGAAAGUCUCUACCACAUGAACUUCUACACUCUCUCAAGGCAUAGUUAAAACAUCUUGUUUCAGGAACUGUCUUUGACCUGCUUCCUUAAUACUUUGUAAUAUUCUCAAUGGUAAUAUACUAUGUUCAAUAUUGACUGAGCAUUUUAUUAUGUGCUGAGCAUUUUACACUUAAAAAUUAAUCAUCACAGUAACCCAAUGAGGCAUUGUGAUUAACCUUCUUUUACAGUUAGGGUAACUGAGGCUUAGAAAGUUUAAGCCACUUGCCCAAAUUAUUCACCUAGAAAUGGUAGAUGAGACGUGAAGGCAAGUCUGAUAGAGCCACUGCUUUUACCUAUGACAGUCUCUGUAUCAUGGUUUCUUUCUGUGCUCAUACGUCAUAUUACAACAGAACACCUGAUAGAAACUCUUGGAUUUAAUUUGGUUCUGCAUUUCUAACCAGUACGUUUGUUGGAUAGAAACAUCUAGAGGCCUUAGAAUUGUUUGUUGUAUUUUCCUUCUUUUUUCCUCUUGGCAAUGCUGCAGACUUAGUUUCCUUUCCU